CCGUCGUAUAGACAACAGGGAUUGCCCCAGUAACGGCGAGUGAAGCGGCAACAGCUCAAAUUUGAAAUCUGGCGUCUUAGGCGUCCGAGUUGUAAUUUGCAGAGGGAGUCUCGGGUUAAGGGCCGGCCCAAGUGCCUUGGAACAGGAUACCGCAGAGGGUGAGAGUCCCGUAUCCGGCCGGCGCCCGCGCUCGUGUGAGACCCCUUCGACGAGUCGAGUUGUUUGGGAAUGCAGCUCUAAAUGGGUGGUAAAUUCCAUCUAAAGCUAAAUACUGGCCAGAGACCGAUAGCGCACAAGUAGAGUGAUCGAAAGAUGAAAAGCACUUUGAAAAGAGAGUCAAACAGUACGUGAAAUUGUUGAAAGGGAAGCGUAUGUGGGCAGACUUGACCGCGGGAUUCAGCCUGUCUUCUGGCAGGUGCACUUUCUCGCGGGCAGGCCAGCAUCGGUUUCGGGGGUUGGAUAAAGGCGUCGGGAAUGUGGCACCUCUCGGGGUGUGUUAUAGCCCGGCGUGUCAUGCAGCCACCUGGGACCGAGGACCGCGCUUCGGCGAGGAUGCUGGCGUAAUGGCCUCAUACGGCCCGUCUUGAAACACGGACCAAGGAGUCUAACAUCUAUGCGAGUGUUUGGGUGUCAAGCCCGGGCGCGCAAUGAAAGUGAACGGAGGUGGGAGUCUUCGGACGCACCAUCGACCGAUCCCGAUGUCUUCAGAGGGAUUUGAGUAAGAGCAUAGCUGUUGGGACCCGAAAGAUGGUGAACUAUGCGUGAAUAGGGUGAAGUCAGAGGAAACUCUGGUGGAGGCUCGCAGCAGUUCUGACGUGCAAAUCGAUCCUCGAAUUUGCGUAUAGGGGCGACAGACUAGCCCGAACCAUCUAGUAGCUGGGUGCCUGCCGUACUGGCCCCUCAGGAAAGGGGAAGACCCCCCAACGACGAUGGGUGCGACCUACUCCGUUCCUCCCUAGUACUCGAGGCUUUGAUGCAUCCGAUUUUGUAAGUCAGGACGGGGCGUAGCCUCCUCCAAACGUUUCUUUCUGUAUGCUGCACUGGCAGUCAGAGAUGCCAUCCGCUCGGACUCCACCGACUAUGUACGGACAGAAUCCUCGCGACUCGGGAUCGUCGAUGGUGCGCUCGAGACUCCACCUCGUC
rnacentral:rRNA from 1 species